UGCACCGCCCAUCCGGACCGGAAGUUGCUGACCCACCGUGUUGUGGAUCUGCUGCGCGUCCCGGGCCCUGCUGCCCACCACAUGCGGGCAUCCCUUGAAGGCGAACUCCUCCAGCUCGCUUCAUCAGCCGCACCGCCAUUUCCUCUUCGCCGACGGAGCCUCGCUGCCUCGGCUGGCCGCCGGAGCCGCUCUCCUCCUCCGGGCUGGCCACGGCGCCCACCGGUGCCCAGCGCUCUCCGGCGCCGGCCAACACGACCUCGCUGUCCGAGGCCGAUAGCUCCUCUGCGGACAUGGUGGACGACGAAGGCCGAUUCUACGCCGCCGGUUAAUUAAUCACUCAAGUUUCCUGGGCUCUCAACUGUUUUAAGCGGCGGAUCAUAGCUGUGACAGCAGGUGUAUCGCCAUCUUGGACAGGAUGAGUCAUACGUCAGAGCGGAGACGCGUCAGCCAAUCACAGGGCGACCGAGGAAACACCGGAAGUGAAGUCGUUUCGUAAUAAGACGCUUGGAAAAGACCGGAAAUGAAGUAAUUUCUUAACAACAAGACACUUUUGUUUCCAUCCAUCCAUUUAAUUUCUACCGCUUGUCCCUUUCGGGGUCAUGGGGGGUGCUGGAGCCUAUCUCAGCUGCAUUCCUUUUCCUAAAAGUUUAUGCCCACGCACAUAUUUGUAUCUUUAUUCUAUAAUAUUUAAUGUUUUUAAGACGCUUGAAAAAUACCGGAAAUGAAGUAAUUCCUUAACAAUAAGACGCUUUUUUUCCCUUUUCCUAAAAGUUUAUGACCACGCACAUGUUUUUAUCUUUAUUCUAUAAUCCAUCUAUCCAUUUUCUACCGCUUGUCCCGUUCAGGGUCGCGGUGGGUGCUGGAGCCUAUCUCAGCUGCAUUUGGGCGGAAGGCGGGGUACACCCUGGACAAGUCGCCACCUCAUCACAGCGCCAAAUAUUUUAUGUUUUUCAGACGCUUGGAAAAUACCGGAAAUGAAAUAAUCGGCCUGACGUGAUUGGAGAGGUGUCUCGUACGUUAGGAAGAGGACAGCAUCCCCAAGCUGCUGAUGGGAUCUUGCAGCAAGUCUGUCCAUCUUGGCACGCGCUGUGAUCCUGACACGGUACUUGCUGCGGCUUCAAGGUAGAGCCGGGGGUCUGCAGCGGGGUCUCGGUGGAGGCGGCCGGACGUUUGGCGUACCACGGGAUCGUCACGCCCUGGAGAAUGCACUUGGACCUCUGCUCGUCACACUUGUAGUGGGCGGGGCAGCAGUGAUCUCCGUCCUCGCAGCACACGGCCUGGGUGGUAAAAUCCGAACUGUAUAAAAAAUACUUGCCAACCACGAGGCUUUCGGUUCUGCUUUCACAGGCCAACAAAUGCUGAAUCAGGGCAAAAAGAACUGGUGCAACUACAAACUGAAAGUAAAAAUAUGGAACAGAUUGAUGAUUCUCACAGGUUUUGUUUUUGAUCAUCAAUAUGGUGCUUUUCCCUUCUACUGUUAAACGGAAAGGUGCUAAAGUAGAACGUCCAUUCCACAUUUGGUAGCAAGCUCGCAAGCUGUAAUAUCAAUACCGCCUGUACCAGAUCUUAAUGCUCAAAUAUCCAUUCUCAAAUCACAAUAGCGAUACUUUAGCUCAGGGGUAUCCAAAUGUUUUCCACCAAGGGGCGCAUACUGAUAAGUCAAAGUAUGCGUGUGCCAUAUUGAUAUGUUUUUAUUUAAAAUAAUGCUAGAAACAGAUAUUGUGUCAGCCCUGUAUUACAGGUGACUAUAAGUACUAUUAAUCAUUACCGUUUUUUUUUUGCUCUUUUUGCUACAUUUUUACUGUUGUUUUUUUCCUAUGUCAGAAUACAAUACAAAUAAUAACAUUGUAGCCCUGUAUGAUAAUAUUGAUGUGCAGUUACAUAUUUAACACUGUUCACUGUUGUUGUAAUUUUUCAAAUUCACUAAUUCUCAAGUUGGUGUUAUUUUAUUUUUUAAUUAACUAACUUAACUUUGUUUAUACUUUAUGUACUGUAUAUAUGGAGGUAUGUUAUUCUUUGAAAUGCACAUCUUUUUCAAUUUUCAGCAGACAAAUUAGUUAUGUCAAUAUCGGAUCGUAUCGCUGAUAUCAGCCUGAAUUUGACUUGGUAUCGAAUCUGAAAAAAAAAUCAGUGGUAUCGCACAUCACUACUGGCUAUGUUGGUGCGUUGGCAUAUUCUAUUUUAUUACAUUUUUUCACACGUUUUUAUUCAUGUGAAACCAUUUUUAUGCCAUACUUUUUGACUCAAACUUGAAUUUAAUUUGAUAGGAAAUAAAUUGUUCAUUAAUUAUUUUUUUUUGUCCAAAAUAACAAAUUUAACAAUCAAAAUAUAAACUAGAAAACCCUUUUAGCACAACUUCAACCAGAAGUCCAACCCAGUAUGAUAUUUUUUUUAACUGUAAAAUUCUGGCAACUGAGCUGCUAGUUUGUAAUCGU